AAAUUGAAGAGUUUGAUCAUGGCUCAGAUUGAACGCUGGCGGCAGGCCUAACACAUGCAAGUCGAACGGUAACAGGAAGCAGCUUGCUGCUUCGCUGACGAGUGGCGGACGGGUGAGUAAUGUCUGGGAAACUGCCUGAUGGAGGGGGAUAACUACUGGAAACGGUGGCUAAUACCGCAUAACGUCGCAAGACCAAAGAGGGGGACCUUCGGGCCUCUUGCCAUCAGAUGUGCCCAGAUGGGAUUAGCUAGUUGGUGAGGUAACGGCUCACCAAGGCGACGAUCCCUAGCUGGUCUGAGAGGAUGACCAGCCACACUGGAACUGAGACACGGUCCAGACUCCUACGGGAGGCAGCAGUGGGGAAUAUUGCACAAUGGGCGCAAGCCUGAUGCAGCCAUGCCGCGUGUAUGAAGAAGGCCUUCGGGUUGUAAAGUACUUUCAGCGGGGAGGAAGGUGUUG
rnacentral:rRNA from 14 species